rnacentral:lncRNA from 1 species
UCAAUUCAAGAUCAUAAAUACAUAAUUAAUACAAAGGUCUAAAUAAAAACCACAACUUCCUAAUAAUGCCCAAAACUCGGUGUCAUAUCACGAGCAUCCAAUAAGAGUAACAAGUUUCAACUGAACAAUAACAUCUAUCUAGAAAAGAAAUACUUAAAUAAAAAUGAAUAAGUAGGGAAGGGGGAUUCCAUGUGCUGUGGUUCGGAUAAAGUAUAGCAUCUCACCACGAAGACUACAAUAACAUACUCCUACUCAGCUCAAUGGUACCGCAAAUACUAGUCUGAGAACCUAUACAAAAUAUGUAGAAGUAUAGUAUGAGUACAAAAUCAUGGUACUUAAUAAGUAUUAAGUCUAGCCUUGAAGAUGUAGUGGUGAGAGGUCGGCAUCGACACCUACUAGCAGCUUAAUAAGCAUAUGAAGCAUAUAUGGAACAUGGACUAGGGCAUGAUAUCAUUAAAUGGGCGUGCCAAAAGAAACUCAAUAAAAACUAGAAUUUAGACAUGCUUUUCAAACAAGGAUAUAGAAUACAAUAUCAAUUAUCUAAGAGCCUUCAAUAUCAUGAUACGAGUGAUCAACGUUGACACAUAAUAUAAGAGCCACUGGAUGAGUCAAAUGGGCGUGCCAUUUGAGUUAUCAGCUCAAUGGUACCGCAAAUACUAGUCUGAGAACCUAUACAAAAUAUGUAGAAGUAUAGUAUGAGUACAAAAUCAUGGUACUUAAUAAGUAUUAAGUCUAGCCUUGAAGAUGUAGUGGUGAGAGGUCGGCAUCGACACCUACUAGCAGCUUAAUAAGCAUAUGAAGCAUAUAUGGAACAUGGACUAGGGCAUGAUAUCAUCAAAUGGGCGUGCCAAAAGAAACUCAAUAAAAACUAGAAUUUAGACAUGCUUUUCAAACAAGGAUAUAGAAUACAAUAUCAAUUAUCUAAGAGCCUUCAAUAUCAUGAUACGAGUUAUCAACGUUCACACAUAAUAUAAGAGCCACUGGAUGAGUCUGAGCUACAAAUACAUGCUCAAACAAUGAUGAUGGCACAAUAUCAGUUAACUCUAUUUUUUUCGUAAUCACAAAAUGAGUCUAUCAAUAGUCAUAUGCAUGCAAAUAUAUAAAUAGGAGAACAAGGCUCAAAUACAAAAAACGAUCGCUUGGAUUAUUACAGAACUAGCUGAAAACUCCACAUUGGGACACUGGUAGUUCUUCAAUGCCCGCACAUGAACUCCACUACAACUUAAAUCCAUGUCUACACAUACGGUACACAAGUAUAGUAUGCGUACAUCAACAUAAAAUCAAUAAGCAUUAUCGAUCAUCCCUAACAAGGAAGUGGAUAGGGUUGAUAUCAGAAGAUGCUCACUUCAUCAUAAGCCUGUGCAUUUAUCAUAUCUAACAACAAUAACAAAAAGGCACAGAAAAAUUAUAAUCACUUUAUACACCGUCAAGUAUAUAAUGAUGUGAACAAAUAGAAUAUAUGACAUGAUGUAUCAUAUCUCAACUAUGCAAGUCCAAUGCACAUAUCGAAUACCCUAAAUAACAUGUAACUCAAUAUUUAUAUGAAUUGCAACUACUGGAGCCUCUAAAUGUCUAUGCAUGAUGAAAAAUCAAAUAUUAUAUUAAACCUGACACUCUUCAAGUGCCAAAUCAAACUUGCGCACACACUACCGGUGGUUCAGUGAUACAUUGACUCAUGAGGGAUGGAUCCAUAUCCACACGCAAAAUUAUAAAUAUACAAACAACUUGCGGUGCAAAAUCACACCACCAAUUCACGUACAUAUUAUAACCUGCAUGGAAAACUCAAUGUGAUAAGUGCAUGCCCAAUUCACAUGCAUACCAUAAACCGCACCGACUCAACGUGCCAUAACCAUAAAAAGGUGUGAAUUACAUAUACAAAUGAGAAUGCAUAUAUUUGGUGCAUGAACUAUAUGUAAUCCGACAUAUUGAUCAACUAUAAUAUUAAACUACUAUGUGAAUUCAAGGAUAUCUAUUACAUUGUACGAGCAUGGGAGAUAUGAUCAAGUAGUCAUGUAACAAGUAGAACGUAAAAUGAAAUACAUGGCAUGUAAAAAGUACCCCAAGAUAGAAACCUCGGUAUUCGAAUACAGGGCAUUGGCCUCAACUGCAACUGAAGUUACUUGGAUAACUUAUAUUCUUAGAGAUAUUGGGGUAUACUUAAAGAGAGCUCUAGUGUUGUUCAGUAAUCUCAGUGCGUUGUACAUCACAGUAAAUCGAGUUUUACAUGGUAGAACAAAACACGUGGAGAUGGAUUAUGAAUUCUAUAAGAGAGAAGGUAGCUAAUAGACAACUUGUCACACGCUUAGUUUGAUCAAAGGAUUAGAUGGCUGAGAUUCAUACCAAGGCAGUAUCUAAGGAACACUUUGCAGUUUUCUGAAGCAAGCUAGGAGUCGAUGAUCCUUCCUACACUAGCCUGAGGGGAUCAUAGAUAGAGGUCGAUAGUGAUCGAGUCUCUUCU